rnacentral:rRNA from 1 species
GUCGAGAAUUUUUCACAAUGGGCGCAAGCCUGAUGGAGCGACGCCGCGUGGGGGAUGAAGGGCUUCGGCCCGUAAACCCCUGUCAUUUGCGAACAAUUCUUUUCCGAUAACACCGGAAGAGUUGAUGGUAGCGAAAGAGGAAGGGACGGCUAACUCUGUGCCAGCAGCCGCGGUAAUACAGAGGUCCCAAGCGUUGUUCGGAUUCACUGGGCGUAAAGGGUGCGUAGGUGGUGAGGUAAGUCGGAUGUGAAAUCUCUGAGCUCAACUCAGAAAUGGCAUUGGAAACUACCUUGCUAGAGGAUUGGAGGGGGGACUGGAAUUCUCGGUGUAGCAGUGAAAUGCGUAGAGAUCGAGAGGAACACCAGUGGCGAAGGCGAGUCCCUGGACAAUUCCUGACGCUGAGGCACGAAAGCUAGGGGAGCAAACAGGAUUAGAAACCCGUGUAGUCC